AGAAAAGAAGACGGGUUGGGUAUCCUAACGGGCUUUCCAACCUGAUAAUUUUAACCUUAAAUAGGAGAUGUGUUAGUGGCCCGUAUCGCUGGCAUUAACAUCCCUGAU
rfam:Colwellia sp. PAMC 20917, complete genome.